ensembl:snRNA U6 U6 spliceosomal RNA
AUAUCUUUAGCAGCAUAUAUACUAAAACUGGGAUGAAACAGAGAAAAUUAGCACGGCCACUGCACAAGGACAACAUGCAAAUUCUGUGAAAUGCUCCAUGUUAAA